rnacentral:rRNA from 1 species
UACGGAGGGGGGCUAGCGUUGUUCGGAAUUACUGGGCGUAAAGGGCGCGUAGGCGGUCCUUCAAGUCAGGCGUGAAAGCCCCCGGGCUCAACCUGGGAACCGCGCUUGAGACUGGCGGGCUAGAGUUCGGGAGAGGAUGGUGGAAUUCCCAGUGUAGAGGUGAAAUUCGUAGAUAUUGGGAAGAACACCGAUGGCGAAGGCAGCCAUCUGGACCGACACUGACGCUGAGGCGCGAAAGCGUGGGGAGCAAACAGG